AUUUGUUAAACAUCUAAGUCCCUCUGAAAUUAUCCUCAACUCUAGCUAGCUGUUUCUUUGCAAUGCAUAUCAUCACUGUUAAUCAAAUUUGGUUCAUCUGCUAUUUAUUUUCAUUUCCUCUUCAUGAAGACAUUGGAUUUGUUGAUGGCCACUGUACUUUAGGUUAAAGCCAUUAUGCAUUCUUAACCUGUAGUCCUUUCACCUAGUGUAAGCUAUAUAAAGAACUUCCGUACUUGAUUUUGGUCAACUCCUUGCAAAAUCUUAAUCAGGUUGUUUUGGUUUUUUGUGAGUAUUAACUUUGAGCUUAGUUGUUUAGUUUUGAUUUGUUGAUUUAAUUGAAUGAGAACCAAAACGAGUAUGCCUCCGAUUCACCUCUACUAACCGGAACCUAAAUUUGUAUGUUAGCCAUGUUCUCGCUCUUGUUCAUCACUUAUUGUGAUUCAUGAGGUGGCUCUAAAGUAGGUCAUGAGAAUGAAGGCUCUGAAACCAUGCAUCUAAGAGAAGCUCAUUCAUCAUGCCGUCAAAAUCCAUCUGAAACCUAUGAGAGUACAAAGUUAAGAUAUUAAUUGAGGUGCCCACUAGGAUGGACCAUUAAUAAUUUGGUCUACCGGUGCACCAUGAUUUAUCACCAUUAGAUCUUAGCAUCUUGGAAUAUUCUUUAAUCGUAUGGUCAAGAUUUGAUGGAUGAAAAAAGGGUAGAAAUGUAAAUGUCAAACACUUGUUCCCCACCCCUUCUCCUUGCCGGAACUGAAUCACCACUGAAUCCCUAAAUCUCUGUCCAUGAGCACUACUUCCAUGAACAAACACUUCCAACAUAUUCUUUUGAAGACAAAUCCAGAAUCAAGAAAGAUUAAAGAAGAGUUGAAAAGGACUAUUGGCCUGUUUGCAUCAGAGUAAAGUGCAAGAAAGAAGCAGAUAUUUUUAUACUCUUGACAUUUUCACAACAAGUGAACUUUAGCUUGAGAUUAAAAAAAAUAAGAACAAGAAUCUGUCUUCCGUUUAUAUCAAAGAUGUUUUUUCAACCACUAUUUUCUAUGCUCUACAUUUAUGGGAUCCAUAUAUACAAAAAUCCCAUUAUACAAAGCAAAAAUACAGUUCAGCAACAACAACUAUAAAAAAGAAAAAUAAAAAAUUGACCGAAACAGAACUGAUAUAACCAGUCAAUAACAACAACCAGCAACCUCAAAAAACAAUCCUUCUACCCAGUAUGCCUUGGCACACCACAAAAGGAAACAGGGAAGAAUUAGAUUUUGGUUCAAAACGGCGUCGGAUCAGGCAACCUCCGGCGGAGAAGGGACGUUGAGGUUAAGAUCCAAGAGUCACUGUGCGAGGCGGCGGCGAGUGUAAAAUCAGCCACCGGGAGAUCGAACCCGCACAUCUCGCGGUGACCAAUGCUCAGCAUGGUCUUCGGACGAGCAAACGCGUUGAAGAACAUCACGGGACGUGCAACCGAAAACGCAAAAGCUCCGUUGCCAGAACCAGCGUGGGCGGAAGCUCGAAUCAGAGAUGUAGGUGAAGAGCUCGAUCUGGGCACAUAGGGAGUAGGUCGUCAGAAGGAUGAAGGUGAAGAGCUCGAUUUGGGCACACAGGGAGACCAUCGCCGGAGAGAUGGGCGGCAGGGAUGGGAGGGGCAGAGGGGAGAGUGGGAAGAGAAGGAGAGCAAUUACAGAGCAAGUGAAGGGAACAUGAAGAAGAAAAGGGUAAAAAUAAGUGAAAAACCAAAAUUGUCCUCUGUUCCACCGGUGGACCAAAAUACAAUUAGCCCACCCUAGUGGGCACACCAUUAAUUGACAUACCAAGAUUGUUGACAUUCAAACCAAAGAAAGUGAGGACCACACCUAUCUAUACCUUAUUAUUUAGGUAGCCUCUUACACUGCUUUGAGUGACCAUGCAUUGCUGCGAUAGCUGCAUUUUUCUCUGCUUGUUUCUUACUGUUGGCAGGUUCACCAGUAAAUAUAUAUUCUAACGCAAGAGGCGUGGUGACACGCGUAAACAUAAGAAAAACAUGGAACCACUAUGGGCGGAAAACUCUACUCACCAACACAGCUGCAUUCAUAGGAAAUCAAAUCCGAGAUUUUGCUCAGGUUAGAACAACUCGGUGUCAGUUGAUAUAUGCACUUGGUGGUUGCAGAAUCAAUUCUGAGAAUCAGCUUCUGGGUCCAGAAUCGGUUCUGAUAAUAGAGAAGCUGAUUAAAACAUGUUAUGAAUAGAUGAGGUUAUCUACUGCUUGGAUCUUUGCAUGAUGAUGGUUAAAAAGUGGAUUUUGGUGGACCUGCUCAAUCUGAUUAAGAAAAGGGUUGGUUUCUGUGUUGCACAGUUGCAGCAUUCAAGUCUUCUCAUUAUCUUCGCUGUCUUCACUAUUUUUUGAUGUCUUUAUAAGCAUGACUUUUAAUCCAUGAACCAACUAUAUUUUAAUUUUCUGUUUUCUGUGCAUUCUUUUUAGUCCAUGUUGUUUAUGAUGCAUAUGACUUGGAAGUAUAGGUGUGGUUUCAUUGCAGUAGUAAGUUCCAGAAAAUAUAUGGAGUUAAUGGUUGCGUUUGGUGUUGGAUUGUUCCGAACAAAUGUGCUUUAACCCCAUCUCAGUGUGUUUGGUAGUGUAUGGUCGUUGGUUUCUAAUGACUUAAAAUUGUUACCGAUUGUUGAUAAGGAUUUAGAUUUGAAUAUUGGCUUGAGGAAUUAUUAUUGCACUCAUAAUUUAAUAGUUUCUGUUUUUAUAUACCAAGCGGGAUAAAACAAAAUAUAUAAUUUUGAUUUGUAAUCAUUCUACUGUGUUUGGGUUAAGGACGUAUCUCUAUGGAUUUAAAGGUGACUUAUCGACUUAUUUUAACUUAUGGAAAAAAUUCAAUUAAGGGGAAUAUAUCUCUAUGGUGAUUCACUUAUUGUGUACUUAUCUCUCUCUGUAUUUAGUCUUCUGGAACUUCUACAACCACUUCUUUUUCCUCUGUCACAUGUUCAGUUUAUUGGUUAAUGUAGUUUUCCUUAUUCCUUUUUCCUCUUCAAAAGAACAUGGAAGUGAUAAUAAAUGCAAUGGUGACAUGAAAUAGACUUGGUCUGCAGUGGUUGAGCUAAGCUUGAUAUUGCAAGAUGUUAGAAUUCUAGGAUUCCAAUUCUUAUGUUUUAACUACUAAAUUUAAGCCUUUGAAAGUUGGCAAGCUAUAGCAAUCAAGAAGAGGUAUUCUUGUGGUAGAGUUAUAUAGCUGACCUCUUAUAUAUUGAACUCUUUUCUCUUCCUCCUUUUGGUUAUUUUCUUUAAAUGAUGAUGUUUCCAUGAAAUUAAGCUCAAUUAUUAAAGACCGCAUUUAGAAUGAUGAGGACAUGAGAGUUUUAGUAUCUAAGCUUUCAUCUCCUAUUUCAUCUCAACUCCUUCAACAGCAUCUGAAUGUAUUUUUUCCUAUCUUUUAUUUUAAUUGUUUUCUGAGCUUAGGAUGGUUAAUUACUUUUCUGUUCUAUUUCAGGGAACUCUUCUCAGACCUUGGUGGAUUUAACUUGUGGUUCUCUUUUCACAAUGAACCUUGUGCAAUUGGUCUCCAAGAAGCACUUGGAUAUUGAAAAGGAAGAAGAUGACAAGAUGUAUCUAUUAUGGAGAAUGGGAGCACGAGUCUGUUUGGCUUAUGUACAGAGGGAAGAUGUAUUGCGGUGUGGUGGCACUGGAAUGUCGAUGAUGGAGAAAGGGGAUUCCAGCAGAGGUUGCACCAUUUGUUCGUAAGCAUGGGAAAGCUCCAUGGACCUUAAUGGGCACAUAUGGAAAAAAGACUCUCAGAUACUUGCACCUGAAAAACCCAAGAAAGUAGCAAAGUUUGGAUCUGGCUGCAAACAAUUCUGCAGAGAACUAAUUAAAGCAAAUCAUUACUUGUGGUUCAGGUUCACAGGUUUAGAUGUUUGAGAGGUGCAAUUGGAUAUUUCUGGGUAUUGCAUGAUGUUUUUGGGGGUGAUUAUGUAAUCUUUAAUACAUUUUGGCUUUCUCUAAAUCUUUUUUGUUGGAAUAUUAUAUGGUGUACUUCAUAUCGUGUCAUGUUUAAAUGUAUGCUAAAAUUAUCUGCUUCUCAAAAAAUCAAUUUAAUACUUCUAGGUGUUGAUUUUUUUUGAAAAAAAUAAAAGUGGUUGUUUCUUAGACAUGGGCAAUCCAUAGGAUAUACAUUCAGGAAAAGAUCUUAGUCCCAAAAUGUAUAGACAUUC